rnacentral:rRNA from 1 species
AGUGAACGCUGGCGGUAGGCCUAACACAUGCAAGUCGAACGGCAGCACAGUAAGAGCUUGCUCUUACGGGUGGCGAGUGACGGACGGGUGAGGAAUACAUCGGAAUCUACUUUUUCGUGGGGGAUAACGUAGGGAAACUUACGCUAAUACCGCAUACGACCUACGGGUGAAAGCAGGGGAUCUUCGGACCUUGCGCGAUUGAAUGAGCCGAUGUCGGAUUAGCUAGUUGGCGGGGUAAAGGCCCACCAAGGCGACGAUCCGUAGCUGGUCUGAGAGGAUGAUCAGCCACACUGGAACUGAGACACGGUCCAGACUCCUACGGGAGGCAGCAGUGGGGAAUAUUGGACAAUGGGCGCAAGCCUGAUCCAGCCAUACCGCGUGGGUGAAGAAGGCCUUCGGGUUGUAAAGCCCUUUUGUUGGGAAAGAAAAGCAGCAGGCUAAUACCCCGCUGUCCUGACGGUACCCAAAGAAUAAGCACCGGCUAACUUCGUG